rnacentral:rRNA from 1 species
AUUGAACGCUGGCGGCAUGCUUUACACAUGCAAGUCGAACGGUAACAGGCCGCGAGGUGCUGACGAGUGGCGGACGGGUGAGUAAUGCAUCGGAACGUGCCCAGUCGUGGGGGAUAACUACUCGAAAGAGUAGCUAAUACCGCAUACGAUCUAUGGUUGAAAGCGGGGGACCGUAAGGCCUCGCGCGAUUGGAGCGGCCGAUGUCAGAUUAGGUAGUUGGUGGGGUAAAGGCUCACCAAGCCAACGAUCUGUAGCUGGUCUGAGAGGACGACCAGCCACACUGGAACUGAGACACGGCCCAGACUCCUACGGGAGGCAGCAGUGGGGAAUUUUGGACAAUGGGCGCAAGCCUGAUCCAGCAAUGCCGCGUGCAGGAAGAAGGCCUUCGGGUUGUAAACUGCUUUUGUACGGAACGAAACGGCUCUGGUUAAUACCCGGGGCUAAUGACGGUACCGUAAGAAUAAGCACCGGCUAACUACGUG